ACUUAUUGCUGAAAACACUGUAGCAAAUAAGUAGGAAAACGAGUGUGAUAAAUUUAGCUGAAAGUACUGUAGCGCUGCUGAAAUUACUGUAGCAUAUAAAUUACAAAAUUUUACUCUGAUUUUCUUUUCCACUCCUCACCGUACCCUAGCUAAGCCUCUGAAGCGGAGAGUUCCACGCCCAUCCGAGAUUGAUGAAGGAAGACCUACAUCGGUCCGACGCCGGCGAAGAGCCCAGGUGAGAAAUCCAUCUAUCGGAAGACAACACCAGUCCGACGCCGGCGUCUUCUCUUCCUUCUAGAAACCCAUUUCACCCUUUUCCCUCCAUCCCUCGAGCUCCGACCCAUAACACAUCUCUUCCCAUAAAUAUAUGGGAAUGUAAAUUUUUUGAUUAGCAAGAUUUUUGGUUUUAUCUGCAAAUGGAUGUCAUAUUACCCAGUACUGAAGUGCCCAUAAUUUAAUUGUUUCAGUUAACCAUUGAAAGUGUUCAGAAGGCUGGCAAUGGUUGCUCAGAAACUUUGCAAAGGAAGGCAGAUUCAUUCAUACUUUCAUUAUGGAAAAGUUUGCCAUUAUAAAAUUCGUAACAUAAGCCCCCGAGAAAAAAAGACCACACUCACACCAAGCCAAGGUUUGAUCAGAGAAACACAGAGAGAGAAAGAGAACAGGUUUUUCAAAUUCUUCAAAGUCCAAGGUGAGUCCUCCUCUCUCCCCACUUUCCACCUCCAAAAACCCUAAUUUUCCCAGCUCCAAUAACUUCUUUUUUCAGAUCUUCAUCUACAUAUAGAAUUUUUUAUGUAUCCAUUUUUGUAUAUGUACUCACACACAUGCAUAAGUUCUUUUUGUUUAUCUUGUAUGCUAUAGAUGUUGGGUUUUGUUGGUGGGUUUUGAUAAUCUGUUUAAUUAGGGGGAAAAAGAUUCAAGAAGAAAUGGGAAAUUCAGUAGCAUUUGAAGAUUACAAGUUUCUUUUCCCCUUUUUUCUUUCCAUCCUUUUUAUUAUCUAUCUACCUGUUUUUAUACAGUCACAUACUUCAGUAGUUAUUGACAUAUGUAUUGAAUACGACAUGGUCAAUUAUAAGCCAAGUUUGAUAACCCAAAAGACAAAAAACAGAACAAAGAAAAAAAUAUUAUUGUUUCACAACAAUAGUACAUAAAGGCUAUUCAAUUACAAAAAAAACACAUGUACACGAUAGAAGAACCAAAAGCUGAAGCUAGAGAGAUAGAUAAACAUCAAAUGCAGUAAAAAAUGGGGGUUUAAGAGUGAUGGGGUUGGUGGGUUAGGAGUUAAGGCUUACCUUAGUGCACUUUCCUUGCGUGUAGUACAA